GAGACAAGAGCCCGUCUCGAUAGCCAAGGAGACCGCCCGUAAAUCACCUAAGGAUCCAUCACUCCUUCUCCCCUUCGGUACUUAAAAAUCCGUUCGACCUCCACACGAGCUCAUGAGCUGUUCGGCGUCGCCGAGACCCCUCGAGAGACUAUAGGCAAGUCAUCCUUGGCUACAAAACAAGACUCUCGAUC
rnacentral:pre_miRNA from 1 species